AUUUUGAGCCUUGCCUGCAGCUGCCAAACUGCCUGGCAGCGGUAGGGAGAUGUCUGCAGUUCAGCACUUGAAAUCAGGGUAUCUGUGGCCAAGGGCAGCUGGAGGAUUCGCUCUGCUCCUUGUACUGGCUGAGCCCCCCAGGGAUACUGAGCUCCAGAGUGGGAUGCAGGGGUCCAGGCUGUGGUCAGGAGCUUCAUAGUCAUCACACAGAUGUGGAAAACUCCCCAGGCCUGCAGGCUGGAAACAAGACCACAGAGAGCUGCACUGAUAUCACAUGCAAGCACUGACCAGAACCACCUCAAGCACCAGGGCAGCAGACACAAGCAGGAAAAUUGACUCUGAUCAUCCCUGGGGUCGUUUAACUAAAACACACAUUUCGGUCGAGCCAAGUGUUCACCAGCGCUUUUCAACUCCCCUGGUGUCAAAACAAUUAGCAGAUCACAGCAGCACCGACUCGCUGGUGCUGCAAUGGAAGCAUCUGGCCAGCACAUGGAGACGCAAUGCCAGCACAGACAAAUGUGACCAGAAGGAAUCUGACACAACCAACCCUUCCUUUGCAAUCAACGUGGGAUCCAAAACAAACCUUCGGCGCUCUCGGCAUCGCUGCCCAGGGAACCAGGCAUCCUGCAAAUAAACACUGAAUUGCAAAU
rnacentral:lncRNA from 1 species